rnacentral:rRNA from 2 species
UCCGUAGGUGAACCUGCGGAAGGAUCAUUAAUAGUGCCCUCUGAUGCAAAUCAUUGGGUUAGAUCUGCUCUCUUCGCAAGAAGAGGGUUUCCAUACACACCGUGAACUGUGGCUUCGGCCAUCACAAACUGUUAGUAAUGAAUGUAAUAUCAUAACAAAAACAAAACUUUUAACAACGGAUCUCUUGGCUCUCGCAUCGAUGAAGAACGCAGCGAAAUGCGAUAAGUAAUGUGAAUUGCAGAAUUCAGUGAAUCAUCGAAUCUUUGAACGCACCUUGCGCCCUUUGGUAUUCCGAAGGGCAUGCCUGUUUGAGUGUCAUGAAACCUCACCCCACUUGGGUUUUUGCCUGAGCGGUGGUGUAUUGGGUGUUGCCUUGCUAAAGGCUCGCCUUAAAGACAUAAGCACCUUGGAUGUAAUACGUUUCAUCCUUCUGGGUGGCUGAUAACCCCACAUAUUCAUGAUCUGGCCUCAAAUCAGGUAGGGCUACCCGCUGAACUUAAGCAUAUCAAUAAGCGGAGGA